UGGGGAAUAUUGCACAAUGGGGGAAACCCUGAUGCAGCGACGCCGCGUGAACGAAGAAGGUAUUCGUAUCGUAAAGUUCUGUCCUAUGGGAAGAUAAUGACAGUACCAUAGAAGAAAGCUCCGGCUAAAUACGUGCCAGCAGCCGCGGUAAUACGUAUGGAGCGAGCGUUGUCCGGAAUUAUUGGGCGUAAAGGGUACGCAGGCGGUUUAAUAAGUCGAAUGUUAAAGAUCGGGGCUCAACCCCGUAAAGCAUUGGAAACUGAUAAACUUGAGUAGUGGAGAGGAAAGUGGAAUUCCUAGUGUAGUGGUGAAAUACGUAGAUAUUAGGAGGAAUACCAGUAGCGAAGGCGACUUUCUGGACACAAACUGACGCUGAGGUACGAAAGCGUGGGGAGCAAACAGGAUUAGAUACCCCUGUAGUCCCUGAGCGGGCUGGCAAGGCGCAU
rnacentral:rRNA from 1 species